GCGGGUUUCUUUUCAGCAGCAGACAUUUUUUACGAUUUAAAAAUUGGUUGUCGAGAGAAUCUCAAAAUUGAUGGACUGAACUAAGUAAUUGCAAUUGUAGGAAUUUGAUAAUCCUAAACUUUCGUGCAAUAUCAAGUUGUUGGUAUUAACUAACAUGCCUGCAGGCGACGCGAUGGUUAUAUACAACUUGGGCAUCACAACCCUAACCCUGGUGUUUAGCC